AUUGAACGCUGGCGGCAUGCCUUACACAUGCAAGUCGAACGGUAACAGGUCUUCGGAUGCCGACGAGUGGCGAACGGGUGAGUAAUACAUCGGAACGUGCCCGAUCGUGGGGGAUAACGAAGCGAAAGCUUUGCUAAUACCGCAUAAGAUCUACGGAUGAAAGCAGGGGACCGCAAGGCCUUGCGCGAACGGAGCGGCCGAUGGCAGAUUAGGUAGGUGGUAGGAUAAAAGCUUACCAAGCCGACGAUCUGUAGCUGGUCUGAGAGGCAGACCAGCCACACUGGGACUGGGACACGGCCCAGACUCCUACGUGAGGCAGCAGUGGGGAAUUUUGGACAAUGGGCGAAAGCCUGAUCCAGCCAUGCCGCGUGCAGGAUGAAGGCCUUCGGGUUGUAAACUGCUUUUGUACGGAACGAAAAGACUCUUUCUAAUAAAGAGGGUCCAUGACGGUACCGUAAGAAUAAGCACCGGCUAACUACGUGCCAGCAGCCGCCGUAAAAC
rnacentral:rRNA from 1 species